GGAGUUAGCCGGUGCUUCUUCUGUGAGUGAUGUCCUUCCUGCCGGCUAUUAACCCGCAGGCCCUCUUCCUCACUGAAAGUGCUUUACAACCCGAAGGCCUUCUUCACACACGCGGCAUGGCUGGAUCAGGGUUGCCCCCAUUGUCCAAUAUUCCCCACUGCUGCCUCCCGUAGGAGUCUGGGCCGUGUCUCAGUCCCAGUGUGGCUGAUCAUCCUCUCAGACCAGCUACGGAUCGUCGCCUUGGUGAGCCGUUACCUCACCAACCAGCUAAUCCGACAUAGGCUCAUCCGAUAGCGCGAGGCCCGAAGGUCCCCCGCUUUCCCCCGUAGGGCGUAUGCGGUAUUAGCCUGGGUUUCCCCAGGUUAUCCCCCACUACCGGGCAGAUUCCUAUGCAUUACUCACCCGUCCGCCGCUCGCCACCAGGUAGCAAGCUCCCCGUGCUGCCGCUCGACUUGCAUGUGUUAGGCCUGCCGCCAGCGUUCAAUCUGAGCCAUAAUCAAACUCUGA
rnacentral:rRNA from 1 species